AGUAGCACCCUCAACUGUGAAAAUAAAAAAUGUCUCCAGACAUCGCCACUUGUUUCCUGAGGGCUAAAUUACCAGUUGUUGUAAACUACUGUUUUACAUACUUUUUGGUUUUUUAAUCUCUAAAGAGAGGAGUUGUGAAAAGAUGUGUCUUUUCCAGCUCUGAUAUUCUCUGACCUGUCCAGCUAUGCUCACAAAAUUGAUGAGAAACUCUAUCUGUUCUUAUCAGAUGCAGAUAAGAAACGUGGGAAGCCACAAGAAAGCCAAGUAGCCUGGGAAAAAGUGGUCAUUGAGCCAUGAGAAAAAAUUAACAUUUGAUCCUGUUGGUGCCACCUGAAGGCAGAGAUGGCUGAGGACCCCCGAGUGUAUAUAUCUGGAACUUAUUUAUCAGAGCAUCACUAAGAGCUUUUCUGUAAGAGUGAUUGCCAUUUAUUUCAGAAUGUAUGAAUGAAAGACUUAAGAAUACAUCUGACCCAGGCAGCCUGGGUUCAACUCUCCAUGUGAGAAUACCAAGCUUGGCUGGGCACAGUGCCUCACAUCUGUAAUCCCAACACUUUGAGAGGCUGCGGCAGGAAGAUUACUUGAAGCCAAGAGCUGGCGAACAACCUGGGCAACAAAGUGAGACUUCAUCUCUACAAUUUUUUUUUUAAUUAGCCGGAUGCAGUGGUGCACACCUGUAGUCUCAGCUUCUCAGGAGGCUGAAGUAGGAUUGCUUGAGCCUGUGAGCCCAGAAGUUUGAGACGGCAGUGAGUUACGAUCACACCACUGCAUUAGAGCCUGAAUGGCAGAGUGAGAGCCUAUCUCUAAACUAAGUAAACAAAUACAGACAUACAUACAUAAAGUAAGAAUUAUUAUAAUAACAAGAAUACAAGCAGUCUGCAAUUUGUGUUUAUGGUGCUAACUGCAACUCAUGUAUGUGGUACCCUCAUUUUUCACAAUAUCAUGGUAACUAAAUAACUGUGCAAAUUAAGAGUACAGUUCUUAUGUGUAUGUUUUAUAGUUAAUACAUACUGUUCAAAAAAAGAACUACCUGUACUAAAUAAGAAUAAUAUAGGUGGACUUGUCUACUGCCUAAUAAAACACAUGAUAAAGCACUACAAAUGAAAGACAAUAGUUCUUACAAGCAAAUAGGGAAUGCAGAGGAAAAAUAAUAGAGGGGCAUCUCAGUCAAGAUUCAAAUUUAGUUUAUAAUAAAUACAAAACUUUUCUCUCAA
rnacentral:lncRNA from 1 species